AUCAACUUUCGAUGGUAGGAUAGAGGCCUACCACGGUGGUAACGGGUAACGGGGUGUUAGGGCACGACACCGGAGGGGGAGCCUGAGAAACGGCUACCACAUCCAAGGAAGGCAGCAGGCGCGCAAAUUACCCAAUCCCGACACGGGGAGGUAGUGACAAUAAAUAACAAUACGGGGUUCUUUAGGAUCUCGUAAUUGGAAUGAGUACAAUUUAAAUCUCUUAACGAGGAACAAUUGGAGGGCAAGUCUGGUGCCAGCAGCCGCGGUAAUUCCAGCUCCAAUAGCGUAUAUUAAAGUUGUUGCAGUUAAAAAGCUCGUAGUUGAAUUUCGAGAUCGGCUUACUGGUCGUGCUUUUGUACGUACUGGUAUAAUCGGUUUCUCCUUUCUGACGAACUUUAAUGCCAUUAAUUUUGGUGUUUUAGGGAAUCAGGACUGUUACUUUGAAAAAAUUAGAGUGUUUAAAGCAGGCUCACGCUUGAAUACAUUAGCAUGGAAUAACGGAAUAGGACGUUUGAUUCUAUUUUGUUGGUUUCUAGGAUCGACGUAAUGAUUAAUAGGGAUAGUUGGGGGCAUUAGUGUUCAAUUGUCAGAGGUGAAAUUCUUGGAUUUAUUGAAGACUAACUACUGCGAAAGCAUUUGCCAAGGAUGUUUUCAUUAAUCAAGAACGAAAGUUAGGGGAUCGAAGACGAUCAGAUACCGUCGUAGUCUUAACCAUAAACUACGCCGACUAGGAAUCAGACGAUGUUAAUUUUUUAAUGACUCGUUUG
rnacentral:rRNA from 1 species